rnacentral:lncRNA from 1 species
CGUCCAGUGAACGGAAGUAGCUGUUGGAAACUUUCAGACGCUUUAAAUUCCUGCGGGGUGGAGGGCUUAGUUUAGCUGCUGGACGCUGGCUUCUCACUCGUAUGGCUGUGGACGUGAAAUCUCGAGCGAAGCGCUAUGAGAAACUGGACUUCCUCGGAGAGGGACAGUUUGCUACUGUCUAUAAGGCCAGAGAUAAGAACACCAACCAGAUCGUCGCCAUUAAGAAAAUCAAACUUGGACACAGGUCAGAAGCUAAAGAUGGUAUAAAUAGAACAGCCUUAAGGGAGAUAAAGCUCUUGCAGGAACUAAGUCAUCCAAAUAUAAUUGGUAGGUUAUCAUAAAGGAUAACAGUCUCGUGUUGACCCCAUCCCACAUUAAAGCCUACAUGCUGAUGACUCUUCAGGGCUUGGAAUAUUUACAUCAGCACUGGAUUCUACACAGGGAUCUGAAACCAAACAACUUGUUGUUAGAUGAGAAUGGAGUUCUGAAACUGGCAGAUUUUGGCCUGGCCAAAUCAUUUGGGAGCCCCAAUAGGGCUUACACACAUCAAGUUGUGACCAGGUGGUACCGGGCCCCCGAGUUACUGUUUGGAGCUAGGAUGUACGGUGUGGGAGUGGACAUGUGGGCUGUCGGUUGUAUCUUAGCAGAAUUGCUUCUAAGGGUUCCUUUUUUGCCUGGAGAUUCAGACCUUGAUCAGCUAACAAGAAUAUUUGAAACUCUGGGUACACCAACCGAAGAACAGUGGCCUGACAUGUGUAGUCUUCCAGAUUACGUGACGUUCAAGAGUUUCCCUGGCAUCCCCCUGCAGCACAUCUUCAUUGCAGCUGGAGACGACCUGCUUGAGCUCAUACAAGGCUUGUUCUUAUUCAACCCAUGUACUAGAAUUACAGCUUCACAGGCGUUGAGGACCAAGUACUUCAGUAAUCGUCCAGGGCCAACACCUGGAUGCCAGCUUCCAAGACCAAACUGUCCAGUGGAAGCAUUAAAGGAACAGUCAAAUCCAGCCAUGGCGACAAAACGGAAAAGAGCGGAGGCCUUAGAACAAGGAAUAUUGCCCAAGAAGCUAAUUUUUUAGUUGCAGCGAACAAUGGACAGUUUCACUGCUGAAAGAAAUGAUCCAAAGGCAAAUAACGGAAAAAAAAUAGGGAAUAUUAAAUACUAUAUAAGAACUUGUAAAUACUCUACAGAUGUAAAAUAUGUAAAGCUAUGGGUUAUUUUUAUUAAAUGUAUUUUAAAAUAAAAUAUUUGUGAUUUAUGAUUAGAGUACAAGAAU